GACGAACGCUGGCGGCGUGCCUAAUACAUGCAAGUAGAACGAGUGGCGCACGGGUGAGUAACGCGUGGUAACCUGCCUCAUAGCGGGGGGUUACUAUUGGAAACGCUCGCUAAUACCCCCUAUGCCUGGAUGGACCUGCGUUGUAUUUGCUAGUUGGUGAGGUAAAGGCACACCAAGGCGACGAUACAUAGCCGACCUGAGAGGAUGACCAGCCACACUGGAACUGAGAAACGGUCCAGACUCCUACGGGAGGCAGCAGGGGGGAAUAGUGCACAAUGGGCGCAAGCCUGAUGCAGCCAUGCCGCGUGUUGAGAAGGCCUUCGGGUUGUAAAGCACUUUCAGCGAGGAGGCGUUACUCGCAGAAGAAGCACCGGCUAACUCCGUGCCAGCAGCCGCGGUAAUUC
rnacentral:rRNA from 1 species